GAAGAACCCAGCUUCUAGUGAUGGUCCUCUGACACCCAAGGCUCCGACACAUGCACAGUAACUCAUGAAGCAAUUGUAUCGAACCACUGUACCAAGGCGUGUUUUGGUCACAUGACUAGUGACAUUUAAAUCACUUGAGUGAUGUCUGAUGCACCCAACUGCGAAUCAGCUGAUUGGUUCAGUUUGUCAUGUGAAUCACUUUGUGGGAUCAAGUGUGUUCAGAUAGGAUAUCCCUAUUUAGUGGCAAAGCUGGAUGCCACAUACACUCUACCAACAAGGAAGGCCCUGAGGAACAUGGUGGUAGCAAAGUAUGAGGAGGAGAGGGAGAAGGCCAAAGCUGAAAUCCAGGAUUUUCCUAGAACCCACAUUGCAGCCGAAAUAAGUCACUGAUGGCAGAGUGGGGCCUCAAACAGAAUUCGAUGCAUUGUGACCGAUUCAGCUAGCAGUAUGAUGCUACAGCCAUGCCUUGAACUUGAGGCAUUCUAAAUGUAUUGCACACUGCCUGAAUCUUGUCAAGAACUCCAUUGAAGCCACUCCUGUCCUUGAUGAAAUUGGAGCCAUGAGCAGGAGGAUGGUGACUUAUUUCAGAACAAGUACAACUGCAAAAGAGAAGCUGAGCCAAAUGCAGCAGCAACUGGGCUGCAACGUGAAGCUCAAACUGGAGGUGGACACACGGUGGAACAGCACCCUGGAAAUGCUUCAACGCCUCUGAGGAAAGAGAUGCAGGGGCAGCAGAUCUAGCUUCACUCAACACAGACCGGACUCAUCUGACCAGCCAACAAUAUGAAAGAAUGCAUCAAGCUGCUGGCUGCAUUCCAGGUGGCAACUGUGGAGCUGUCGGAGGAGAAGAGUGUCGGCAUCAAAGGUCAUCCCCCUCUACCGUGUGUUGUGACAUACUGUACAACAAAACAAUUAUAUCCACAACUUGCCACCCCCACGGCACAUCACCUGGCACAUAACUUGUUCAGAUGCUUGGGAGACAGAAUGCAAGAAAAGGAAAGAGUUCACUGGCAGUCGCUACACUCUUGGAUCCAUGCUUAAAGACCUGAUCUGAUAACAGAAUGUACAAAAAUAAUCAACAUAAACAAUGCCCAGCAGCAGCCAUCCACUUCACAAGCACCACCUCAGCCUCAUGCACCAGCAGCAGCCUCCACAGGUGUUGACCUGUGGAGACUUUUGGAUCAAGAUGCACACAGAGCCAGGCACAUGCAAAGCACCACUGCUAAUGCAAUUGUGGAAGUGAACCAAUACCUGGCUGAUCCUCCCCUGGAAAGAACUGAUGACCUCUUCACAUACUGGGCAACCCAUAAAACUGUUUACCAAAACCUCUAUGAAUUAGCCAAGCAUUUCUUGUGUACCCCAUCUAUAAAAAAAUUAGCCAAGCAUUUCUUGUA